UGCCAAGUGAAGCGCGCAGAUCUUCGAAGUCCUGUCUAAGGCCUUGGCUGCACGGGGCACGGCCCGCUGCCACGCUUUAAGUGCCUCAUCGUCAUCAG
rnacentral:lncRNA from 1 species